AAAAUUCUUUUUCUUAUUUUUUCCAUGGAUAUUGCUUUCUUGGUUUCACAGAGGCUAUAAGAAAAAUAGCUGCCUGGGAUUUGUCAUGCCAUGUAUCUAUCUAAGACUCUAUGCUUCUGGAACAUUCUGAGCUUCAGUCACCUAUGAGCCACUGGGCUGGUCCUCCAAGUAUAUACAUAUUGUCUGCAAAAUCUGGACAAGGAGUUCAACUGGUGGAAGACGUUACUGCAAGUAUCAAAUAUAGAGAUCUUGAACAUUAAUUAAU
rnacentral:lncRNA from 1 species